AAGAUAGGAUCAAGGCAUCAGAUCGUCGUAGUCUUCAUAGACUAUACGACUAGGGAUGAGUGGCUCAAACACCAAUCAGUACUAUAGGGAAAUCAAGUUAUGGAACGGGGAGUAUGUCGCAAGACUGAAACUAGAGGAAUGACGAAGCGCGCAGAUGAGCCUGCGCCUAAAUAUGACUCAACACGGGAAACUAACAAGGACGAGACGAUAGUAGGGAUGACAGAUGAUAGCUCUUCUGUUUAUGGGUGGUGUUGCGUGCCGUCUAGUGUGGAGUGAUUUGUCUGGUAAUCCGAUAACGAACGAGACCUUGACUGCUAACUAGAUUCGAUCAUCUUAUGGUCGUUAUCUUCUAGAGGGACUAUGUAACAUAAGAAGCAAGAGAAGUAUGAGGCAAUAACAGGUCAGUGAUGCCCUUAUAUGUCCUGGGCUGCACGCGUGCUACACUGAUGUAUACAACAAGUGCCUAGUCAGACAUGACAUGGCAAUCUCGAAUAUGCAUCGUGAUGGGGAUAGAUCUUUGCAAUUAUGGAUCUUGAACGAGGAAUUCCUAGUAAGUGCAAGUCAUCAUCUUGCAUUGAUUAUGUCCCUGCCCGGUAGAGAAGGGCGCCCGUCGCUCCUACCGAUACCGGGUGAUCCGGUGAACCUAGGACCUGCAAGGGGAAGAAAAGUAAACCAUAUCCUAAGGAAGGAGAAGUCGAGCAAGAACGGACC
rnacentral:rRNA from 1 species